rnacentral:rRNA from 1 species
UAAGGAAUAUUGCUCAAUGGGAGAAAUCCUGAAGCAGCAACGCCGCGUGGAGGAUGAAGGGUCUAUGACUUGUAAACUCCUGUAAAGAAGGAAAAAAUUCCCAUUAGAUGGGAGAUGAUGGUACUUCUGGAGUAAGCCCCGGCUAACUACGUGCCAGCAGCCGCGGUAAUACGUAGGGGGCAAGCGUUGUCCGGAUUUACUGGGUGUAAAGGGUGCGUAGGCGGCAAUGCAAGUCAGAUGUGAAAACUAUGGGCUUAACUCAUAGAUUGCAUUUGAAACUGUGUUGCUUGAGUGAAGUAGAGGCAGGCGGAAUUCCCGGUGUAGCGGUGAAAUGCGUAGAGAUCGGGAGGAACACCAGUGGCGAAGGCGGCCUGCUGAGCUUUAACUGACGCUGAGGCACGAAAGCAUGGGUAGCAAACA